rnacentral:rRNA from 1 species
AUUGAACGCUGGCGGCAGGCUUAACACAUGCAAGUCGAGCGGAGCGGCGGACGGGUGAGUAAUGUCUGGGAAACCGCCUGUUGGAGGGGGAUAACUACUGGAAACGGUAGCUAAUACCGCAUACUAUCAGAUGAGCCUAGGUCGGAUUGGCUAGUUGGUGGGGUAAAGGCCUACCAAGGCGACGAUCCGUAACUGGUCUGAGAGGAUGUGCAGUCACACUGGAACUGAGACACGGUCCAGACUCCUACGAGAGGCAGCAGUGGGGGAUGUUGGGCAGUGGGCGAAAGCCGGGUCCAACCAUGCCGCGUGUGUGAAGGAGGUCUUCGGAUUGUAAAGCACUUUAAGUUGGGAGGCGUUACCAGCAGAAUAAGCACCGGCUAACUUCGUGCCAGCAGCCGCGGUAAUUC